rnacentral:rRNA from 1 species
AUUGAACGCUGGCGGCAGGCCUAACACAUGCAAGUCGAACGGUAACAGGAAGAAGCUUGCUUCUUUGCUGACGAGUGGCGGACGGGUGAGUAAUGUCUGGGAAACUGCCUGAUGGAGGGGGAUAACUACUGGAAACGGUAGCCAAUACCGCAUAACGUCGCAAGACCAAAGAGGGGGACCUUCGGGCCUCUUGCCAUCGGAUGUGCCCAGAUGGGAUUAGCUAGUAGGUGGGGUAACGGCUCACCUAGGCGACGAUCCCUAGCUGGUCUGAGAGGAUGACCAGCCACACUGGAACUGAGACACGGUCCAGACUCCUACGGGAGGCAGCAGUGGGGAAUAUUGCACAAUGGGCGCAAGCCUGAUGCAGCCAUGCCGCGUGUAUGAAGAAGGCCUUCGGGUUGUAAAGUACUUUCAGCGGGGAGGAAGGGAGUAAAGUUAAUACCUUUACUCAUUGACGUUACCCGCAGAAGAAGCACCGGCUAACUCCGUG